CACAAGCGGUGGAGCAUGUGGCUCAAUUCGAGGCAACGCGAAGAACCUUACCUGGGCUUGACAUGUUCAGGACCGUCCGUGAAAGCGGUAUUUCCCUUCGGGGCCUGAUCACAGAUGCUGCAUGGCUGUCGUCAGCUCGUGCCGUGAGGUGUUCAGUUAAGUCCGGCAACGAGCGCAACCCGUGUCGUCAGUUGCCAGCGAUUCGGUCGGGGACUCUAGAGAUACUGCCCCGGUUAACGGGAGGAAGGUGGGGAUGACGUCAAGUCCUCAUGGCCCUUAUGCCCAGGGCUACACACGUGCUACAAUGGGCGGUACAAAGGGUAGCGAUGCCGCGAGGUGAAGCCAAUCCCAAAAAGCCGUCCACAGUUCGGAUUGGAGUCUGCAACUCGACUCCAUGAAGCCGGAAUCGCUAGUAAUCGUGGAUCAGCAUGCCACGGUGAAUACGUUCCCGGGCCUU
rnacentral:rRNA from 1 species